UACGGAGGGUGCAAGCGUUAAUCGGAAUUACUGGGCGUAAAGGGUGCGUAGGUGGUUUAGUAAGUUAGCUGUGAAAUUCCUGGGCUUAACCUAGGGUGGUCAGCUAAGACUGUUAGACUUGAGUAUAGGAGAGGGUAGUGGAAUUUCCGGUGUAGCGGUGAAAUGCGUAGAGAUCGGAAGGAACACCAGUGGCGAAGGCGGCUCACUGGCCCGGUACUGACGCUGAGGUGCGAAAGCGUGGGGAGCAAACAGG
rnacentral:rRNA from 1 species